UCCACCCUAGUUCAGUGGUUAAACUCCGUGCAUCGUUAAAAAAUAACGAACGCAGGAUGUCGGAGGUUCGAUUCCUCUGGUUGGCA